UACAGAGGGUGCAAGCGUUAAUCGGAAUGACUGGGCGUAAAGCGUGUGUAGGUGGUUGGAUAAGUUAGAUGUGAAAUCCCUGGGCUUAACCUGGGAACUGCGUUUAAGACUGUUCGGCUAGAGUACUGUAGAGGAUAGUGGAAUUUCCAGUGUAGCGGUGAAAUGCGUAGAUAUUGGAAGGAACACCAGUGGCGAAGGCGACUAUCUGGACAGAUACUGACACUGAGACACGAAAGCGUGGGGAGCAAACAGG
rnacentral:rRNA from 1 species